AAUUGGCAUGGCGGGUGUUCAAUCCCGGGUGCGGGGGUUUCUCUCUCUCGCUCCUUUCUUGUCUCCUUGUCGGCACUCUCUUCUGGGAGACCAAGGAGAACAUGACAGGGAGAGGGAGAGGGAAACCCGCCCCAUCCGGGUUGAUCUGAGAAAUACCGCUGAACUUGAUCUGGAUAAUACCAGCGAAAGAACAUGCUUCUUUGAUGCU
rnacentral:ncRNA from 1 species